UACCGGGUCGUCUAAUGGUAGGACAUCAGUUUCUGGCACUGAGAAUCGGGGUUCGAGUCCCUGCCCGGUAA
rnacentral:tRNA from 1 species